GGGGGGGGGGGCUCGUCACCCAGGAGCCGCCGCCACGCCAUGGGCUUCCUCAGAUCUGCGCCAGCCGGUUCGUUUGAAGAAGGAUCUGGCCGUUGAUUGCUGCUGCUUCCCCUUCCCCGACGAUCAGCCAUGACUUGGGAUAGUACUUCUAUCCAGCAAGCAGCGCUUCGGCUGGGAGCUCGAGCUCAAGCAGAACGUCAAAAACAGGGGCUCUAUCUGCUAAUGGGCUAGUCGGAAAUGCAGUCUAAGAGCUGGCUACUGCUCAUGUGAUUUCUGGAUUUGAGAGGAUGAGAACUUGAGAAGAACAAGCUUGAUACUAUGAUUAAAAAAAGUCUAUACUACAGGUGAAAGUUGAGACACACCAUACAUAGGCUCUGCAAGCGGACGGAAAUAGACCUCUUCGUCGAUGACUUCUACGAGGACGAUAUUGACCUAGAGGCUGGAGCUUUGCUACUCUUUCCGGCCAACAACAAGGAGAAAUCUUCUCAGUUUCUGAAUCCUGAGCAGUAGCAAGUCAGGUGCUUAAUGGUGAUCCUACCAUGCAUAUGGCAUAAGCAAGUUAGUUCUAAAAAGGUCAUUGUUAAUUCGCCCACAUCUGUCCCGCAAUUGCCACAACUUAGUGCAGUGAGAUCAGAGGAUGGUCAUCAAUUUAAUCUAAUUUGUGGCACUGAAGUACAGAUGCUUUUCUCCGAUAUUUUUAGGAAUAUAAUAGUCAGGUGCAGUGUAAGUUCAGAUACUUUUUGUUUGGUAUUUUGCAGGUCCUCAUGUGCUUAGUACUGCAUUUAGAAAUGAUUGCGGAUAGAUUCUUCUCCUUGAAAUUCAUUUCUAACAUAGGGAAAGUAUGCAUAACCUCCUGAUGUACGUGGGUUUUUGAGAAUGCUUUUCCCAGGCCAUGCUGCACUCAUCAUUGAAACUUCUAGCUGUGUAUUAGAUAGUAAUCAUUUUGCCUAAUGUAUUGCCGUCUAGUGCAGCAAAGUGUGGUCUUUCCACCCCAGAUAAGAAAAAGAAAGAUAACUAGUGCAGUCUUUUCUUCAAAAAUGACUUUCAUCUGUCCGUUGGUGGAUGUGUUGCUCCCAAUAAUUGGGUGUCUGGACAUUCUAAAUUGUUGCCUUGUGGCCAGAUGAUGCAUAUGCUCCUUUUCCAUUUAAUAUACUUCUUGGUCUGCGACUUGAGGAGAUUGAUACAGGCUAUAUGGUUGGUCGGUGUGGCAUUGAUGCUUUAUUAUGUCUAAUCCGUCACAGAUUCUAAUUAGAACAUGCCAUGUUUUUAUAAUGCUAAAAUCCCAGUUUGUUUUUGCCAUUGGUGCUUUAUACAAUUAUUAUUUAUUCCAUUAUCUCAAUGAAUGCAUGAAUUCACCGGCGACCCUUUUAUCCUUUGUAGGAAUGACAUACAUGAGGACCAGGAAGUAACCAUGAAGAUGGCAGUUUUUGUUAGCUAGGCAUUUUGUGUAAUGGAGAAAAACAUUGUGUCUUUUAUCAUUUGGUAAACCUAUAUGGUGUCUUGUCAACUGGGCAUUUUGUGUAAUGGAGCAAACAAUGAAUCAUUGGACAUGCAUCUGUCAUUUUGUAAACCAAUCAGGGUGUCUCGGUGAUUGAAACAUAAAUGUUUCCUCCUUUCA